rnacentral:lncRNA from 1 species
CAGGCUUCAAAGAGAACCAGCAUCUCUAUUCUGUGCAGCACCCAGCCUGCUCUCUUUGCUCCAACAGUAAGAAUACCAAACAAGGAAUGCUGCAAUUGAUCCUAGGCAAUAGAAAGUACUUGAAUAUUAAACAAGAAAUAAAUAGGAUUCUGCACUACUAAAGUGAGUGGAAGCCAUGUUACGAACUUUAAGAGCAGCUGAGAGCAAUGCUAGAGCUGAUAUUUCCUGCCUUUUCUAACCUUAUGUGACCAAAGAAUUUGUCUUCUGCCCCUUCUGGAAUACUUCUCUUGAGAAGCACCAAGGGAACAUUGAAACUGCAGAUAGUUUUGAACAGUUGCUCUUUGCAGGACAGUUAAUACUGAAACAAAAAUCAAGCACAAGGAUGUCUUUUGGAGGGCUGCUGCCUAGCAGCUGUGCCCAGUUCACUGACCUCGGUGGGAGUUCCUGAGUCCUCUAUGAAUUCAGGUUUGUCAUCCAAAU